rnacentral:rRNA from 1 species
GACGAACGCUGGCGGCGUGCUUAACACAUGCCAGUCGAACGGAAAGGCCUCUUUCGGGGGGUACUCGAGUGGCGAACGGGUGAGUAACACGUGAGUAACCUGCCCUUGACUUUGGGAUAACUUCAGGAAACUGGGGCUAAUACCGGAUAGGAGCUCCUGCUGCAUGGUGGGGGUUGGAAAGUUUCGGCGGUUGGGGAUGGACUCGCGGCUUAUCAGCUUGUUGGUGGGGUAGUGGCUUACCAAGGCUUUGACGGGUAGCCGGCCUGAGAGGGUGACCGGCCACAUUGGGACUGAGAUACGGCCCAGACUCCUACGGAAGGCAGCAGUGGGGAAUAUUGCACAAUGGGUGGAAGCCUGAUGCAGCAACGCCGUGUGCGGGAUGACGGCCUUCGGGUUGUAAACCGCUUUCGCUCAUGACGAAGCUUUGUGUGACGGUAGUGGGUAAAGAAGCACCGGCUAACUACGUG